AGGUUACGUAGUUGUUAUGCAGCAAAUCAGAGGUGAUCACAACACUUGAUUAAAAAUAAUGAAUCUAACCAUGAUUUUUUGGACGAUAAAGAAGUAAAAUUGAAAAGCCUACAGGGGAAACGCAAGAGCGCUGUAGAGACGCCAGCAGGGAAGAAUGCGGAUCAAGCCACAGAAAUGGCAGAGCUAAAGACCCAGAACCUUUAAAUGUCCCCAGAAUGCUCCUUUCACACAACUUCAUACGAAAAAGCCCUCCAGCUGAGUUAUGCCCCUUCGUCAUGGAAUUCACACCCCACCCCCUCCACUGACGCAAGCUUUGGAGAGCAGCUCUAUGGAGGGUAACCUAAGUGCUGCCUCCAGAGCUAAGUGUGCUGUCCUUGCUUGUUAUUGUAACAUUGAUAUACAUAUCUCCCUUUCCUCAUUUGUUAUACCCUAAUGUCAUUAGGACAAGCCUGCAGCAAUUUUAAAAGCUGGC